GCUUGCUGCUUUGCUGACGAGUGGCGGACGGGUGAGUAAUGUCUGGGAAACUGCCUGAUGGAGGGGGAUAACUACUGGAAACGGUAGCUAAUACCGCAUAACGUCGCAAGACCAAAGAGGGGGACCUUCGGGCCUCUUGCCAUCGGAUGUGCCCAGAUGGGAUUAGCUAGUAGGUGGGGUAACGGCUCACCUAGGCGACGAUCCCUAGCUGGUCUGAGAGGAUGACCAGCCACACUGGAACUGAGACACGGUCCAGACUCCUACGGGAGGCAGCAGUGGGGAAUAUUGCACAAUGGGCGCAAGCCUGAUGCAGCCAUGCCGCGUGUAUGAAGAAGGCCUUCGGGUUGUAAAGUACUUUCAGCGGGGAGGAAGGCGAUAAGGUUAAUAACCUUGUCGAUUGACGUUACCCGCAGAAGAAGCACCGGCUAACUCCGUGCCAGCAGCCGCGGUAAUACGGAGGGUGCAAGCGUUAAUCGGAAUUACUGGGCGUAAAGCGCACGCAGGCGGUCUGUCAAGUCGGAUGUGAAAUCCCCGGGCUCAACCUGGGAACUGCAUUCGAAACUGGCAGGCUAGAGUCUUGUAGAGGGGGGUGGAAUUCCAGGUGUAGCGGUGAAAUGCGUAUAGAUCUGGAGGAAUACCGGUGGCGAAGGCGGCCCCCUGCACAAAGACUGACGCUCAGGUGCGAAAGCGUGAGGAGCAAACAGGAUUAGAUACCCUGGUAGUCCGCGCCGUAAACGAUGUCGACUUGGAGGUUGUGCCCUUGAGGCAUGGCUUCCGGGAGCUAACGCGUUAAGUCGACCG
rnacentral:rRNA from 1 species